rnacentral:lncRNA from 1 species
AUUGAUGACUUGUGUGGCUUUUAACCAUAUCUGGGAAACUCUCAUACCCUCAUUGCCUUUGCUUGGAGGAUGUCCCUGCUGGUCCUGGCAGCCCUCACACUGCGCAGUCUUUCCACACACUACAGCCCAAGGAGUCAUCUGCUUGUGGUUUGGUAGCUUCAACCUUGUUCUCUACAACCAUCCCCCAUGCCGGUUCUCAGCUCAGAAAACUUCAAUGACUUCCAUUAUCCGCUGAAGUUUUAACUUUUACAUACAAACCUGAAUGGAAACAUUCAGGUUUUCCAGGAUAUGGCCUUUGCUGUCAUUUCCUCCUUGUUAUCCUUUCUCCCUCCCUCCAUAUUUUCCACAAAUGAUUUGGAAAUACUGUAAAAACCUCUAUAUUAAGUGCUGGGGAUAUAUUGAUGAUCAAGCUGCCUUUGUAAAGUGUGCAGAUAAAAGAGAGAUCCACAGAGAAGUAAUUCAAGUCAAGCAGGAUGAGUGAUUUGGUAGGGCAGUGUCGGGGCAACAGGAGGAUGCACAGGGAACUUCAACAAAUUGACCAGGCUGAUUUCUCUGAAGAAGGAACACGUCAGUGGAAAUGUGUGAAAACUGAUCAACAGAAGAAGGGGCUUGAUCUACUUUCCGUCUUAGAAUGUGUGCUCAGGUUGCGGUGUGUACGGUGUGGAUAAAUGAUUUGGGCCAGUGGCUUUCAAACUUGAGUGUGAGUCAGAAUCUUCCAGAGGGCUUUGUAGAACACCACUGCAGGACUCCCUCUCCUAGUAGGUUUGGGGGAGACCCUGAGAAUCUCCAUUUUUUUUUUUGAGACGGGGUUUCACUCUUGUGGCCCAGGCUGGAGUGCAGUGCUGCCGUCUUGGCUCACCGCAAGCUCCGCUUCCCGGGUUCAAGCGAUUCUCCUGCCUCAGCCUCCCACGUAGCUGGGAUUACAGGGGCCCGCCACCAUGCCUGGCUAAUUUUUUGUAUUUUUUAGUAGAGACGGGGUUUGGCCAUGUUGGGCAGGCUGCUCUCCUGACCUCAGGUGAUCCGCCCGCCUCAGCCUCCCAAAGUGCUGGGAUUACAGGCGUGAGCCACCGUGCCCGGCCGAGAAUCUGCAUUUUUAACAAGCUCCCAGGAGAAGCUGAAGCUGCUGAUCCUGGGACUGCACUUAGAGAACCACGGUUCUGAGGCUUUGAAGAACAAGCUGCCAUGAAUCCUGCAGCUACAAGGAAAUGAACUCUAUUAACUUGAGUGAGCUUAAAACUAGAUCCUUCCCCAGUCAAGCCUCCAGGUGAGAAUUCAAUCCUGGCUGGCACCUGGAUUGCAGCUUACAGAAGACCCAGCUAAGGCCAUGUCUGGACUUUAAAUCCACAGGAACUGCAAGAUGGUAUCAGAAGUGGGACCUGCAGUGGGGCAUCUAGCAACCCCCAGGAGCAUUGAGUGACCAGGCUUGGGACCCACCGGGCGCAGGGUGUCCAUUGUUCUCUCGAAGCAACUGAGAAUUGUGGAUAUUCUUCAUUAUUCCAUCAUCAUCUCAAACCUCUUGGGUAUAGUGUUUGACUACUACUGUGACCAUAAAUUCCAAUAAAACCUAGGAAAAAUGAAACCACUACAUUAACUGAAAGGAACCUGGUGGUUGUGGCCAUUCAAAGGGAGAACUGUACCCUCCUGGAUGGAGUCUGCUCAGUUCUCUGCUUCCCCUUCUCUCUCCACACUCAAAAUAGAGCGAUUGACAGGAAAAGGUGGGCAGUAGUCUGUGAGAACCGGAGUACAACCUCCUUCUACUUCUUGAGCAAAUGCAGGAUGGACACAAUAUCUUUGAAAUAACUCACGAGACUAAAAUUUCAAAAUGAACACAGCUGAGUUUAGAAUCCAAAAUGACAGCUUUAAUAACUAAUAUAACUAAAAUAUUCUUGAUUCUGACUAUGAUUAAGUAGUGGGAGUCCACUAACCAGGUACAUAUGGAUAUAUUUAACAUAGUAUCGUAAAAUUGGCAGCCAUUACUGAAAAACAAUGACAUAGUUUCAUUUCAUACUCUAAUGAAUUGUCUUGCUGAAAUAAGUCAGUUGUACAUUGUAAAAAUGAUAGAAGAAAUUACAGCCAGGACAGAAUAGCUGAGAGGAUAUUUGCAUCUUCUACCAUAAAACCUUUGUCGUCUCCUGUAGGAGCUUACUCACUUCUUGGGAGUACUUUAUUAACCCCUUGUAAAGGCAGAAAUCCCUCUGCUCUUCACCAACCUCUCAGAACAGUAGUUCCUCCCUACCUUCAGUGGGGGAUACAUUCCAAGACCCAUACUGGAUAUCUGCAACUGUGGAAGGCACCAAAUUGAAAUUCUUUUUCACAAUUUCAUGGGUAGAACAUUUGUUCUUAUCAUAGACCUUAGCAACCUCAGCUUAUGAUUUAUUUUCUUUCUGUAGUAAGUGGAGAAUUUUCACCUUUUUACUUGAAGGAAGGAUUUGACAGCUUCUUUUGGGCAUAUCAGAAUCGCCAGCAUCACUACUCUUGCACUGUGCGGCCAUUAUUAAGUGAAAUAAGGAUUACUUGAACACAAGCACUGCAAUGCCGCUACAGUCAAUGUGAUAACCCAGCUGGUGACUAAGUGACCAAGGACGGGGAGUAUCUACAGCGGGGAGACUCUGGAAAAAGGGAGGAUUCACAUCCAGUGCCACUGGGGCAGGGCAGAAUGAGAGUUCAUCAUGCUACAAAGAAUGGCACAGAAUAUACGACUUGUGAGUGGAUUAUCUCUGGAAUUUUCUGUUGACUACAUUUGUACUACAGUUGUAUGUGGGUAACAAACUGUGGAAAGUGAAACUUCGGGUAAGGGGGAGGCUACCGUAGAUAGCCCAGUAUUUCUUAUUUUGUGGAUUUGUUUAUCUUUCUGCUCACAUCCUUUUCCUUCUGCAUUACCAUUUUAGUAAAAAUAGAUAGCAUCCAUUUGGUGUUUAGUAUGUUUUUGGCACAGUCGAACAUUUUACAAACAUUAUAUCAUUUAAUCUGCAUAAAACCUAUACAGUAGGUACAACUAUUAUCCAGUUUUUUAGACAAGGCAAACUGGAUCACAGGGAGUUCAAAACGCCUCUUCCCUUGGUCAAGUUGGGUCAUGUAAUUGUCAAAGUUAAAACAUGCCCCUUAGGAGAUGAUUUAAAAUUCCCUAAUUUUUUAGAAGAAUCUUCAGUUUUCCCAGGAUAGAACAUUUAUUGAUAUGGUAAAUAUGUG